AUUUGAUGUUGGGGACAGCUGGUGCAUAAUUUUUUGAAUCUCUUCCAAUAUUCAUAGAGGGACUCCUCGGAAUUCUGCUUAAUUCCACAGAUCUUUUUUUGUAAGCU